rnacentral:rRNA from 1 species
ACGCACGCUGGCGGCGUGCUUCACUCAUGCCAGUCGCACGCUGAAGCUUGGUGCUUGCACUGGGUGGAUGAGUGGCGAACGGGUGAGUAAUACGUGAGUAACCUGCCCUUGACUCUGGGAUAAGCCUGGGAAACUGGGUCUAAUACUGGAUACGACAUGUCACCGCAUGGUGGUGUGUGGAAAGGGUUUUACUGGUUUUGGAUGGGCUCACGGCCUAUCAGCUUGUUGGUGGGGUAAUGGCUCACCAAGGCGACGACGGGUAGCCGGCCUGAGAGGGUGACCGGCCACACUGGGACUGAGACACGGCCCAGACUCCUACGGGAGGCAGCAGUGGGGAAUAUUGCACAAUGGGCGAAAGCCUGAUGCAGCGACGCCGCGUGAGGGAUGACGGCCUUCGGGUUGUAAACCUCUUUCAGCACGGAAGAAGCGAAAGUGACGGUACGUGCAGAAGAAGCGCCGGCUAACUACGUG